rnacentral:rRNA from 1 species
UACGAAGGGUGCAAGCGUUACUCGGAAUUACUGGGCGUAAAGCGUGCGUAGGUGGUUUGUUAAGUCUGAUGUGAAAGCCCUGGGCUCAACCUGGGAAUGGCAUUGGAUACUGGCGAGCUAGAGUGCGGUAGAGGGUAGUGGAAUUCCCGGUGUAGCAGUGAAAUGCGUAGAUAUGUGGAGGAACACCUGUGGCGAAGGCGCCUUGCUGGCCAAUUUCUGACGCUGAGGCGCGAAAGCGUGGGGAGCAAACAGG